AACGAACGCUGGCGGCAUGCCUAACACAUGCAAGUCGAACGAGACCUUCGGGUCUAGUGGCGCACGGGUGCGUAACGCGUGGGAACCUGCCCUUAGGUUCGGAAUAACUCCCCGAAAGGGGUGCUAAUACCGGAUAAUGUCUUCGGACCAAAGAUUUAUCGCCUUUGGAUGGGCCCGCGUUGGAUUAGCUAGUUGGUAGGGUAAAAGCCUACCAAGGCGACGAUCCAUAGCUGGUCUGAGAGGAUGAUCAGCCACACUGGGACUGAGACACGGCCCAGACACUCAGGGGAGGAGGAGGGGGGAAAUUGUGAAAAAGGGCAGAAGGAUGAACCAAAAAAUGCGGGGGGAGGAAGAAAGCCUUGGGGGUUGAAAAGUUUUUUUCCAAGGAAGAAAAAGAAAAGAACGGGAAAAAAAGACCCCGGCAACCCCGGGC
rnacentral:rRNA from 1 species